CUCAUGCAGCUCGCUUGAAAUGUACUCAUCGUUCAGCAGUAUCCCCCAGCCCUCUCAUCUCAAUCCAUGGAGCUCCUUAGACCCCCAAAUUAAAGGUGAGCAAGAGGGAACAGGUGGGGUUUAUCAUGAGUAAUUAAUUCUUUUUUUUUUUCUUUCUCUUUUGAUUCAAAUCUGAAAUUUCGUAGCAUGAGGAAACGAAAGCAGCCAUCAUCAUCAGCCCCAGGUGGAACCUUCUACCUUUAAAUAAAUCUCAUGCCUUCGCGCUGCAUGUUACUGGAAUCAUACACGACUUCUCUGGUUUCUGCAGGAGAGAGACAAAGACUGCUGUGGCAGAGGAACUGAACACAAGAAGACCACAAUGGUACAGAUUUGGUACCCACCACCAAACACUGCC
rnacentral:lncRNA from 1 species